GACGCACUAAGUCGAGUGGUAGCGCCACAAACGCGAGACACGACCAAGUGAGGUCGGCUCAGUGAUUCGCACGAUGCCACCGUGAUACAUGUGUCAUCGAGUGCUUUCUGCUAAGGACACGCGCACGCAUCACGUGGCGUACGCACGUACCGUUGUGCGGACGACAACUCAGCCCUCGACGACACCCCAUUCUUCGUAGCGAUGGACGUAGCAACUGGGUAACCAGCGAUUAAGGGAGAAGCUACGCUGGACAAUUGCGUACGUAACCGCAUCGAUGCGUCAGUGAUUAUCACGUCCUCGUCGUCGUUGGAUACAUGCCCAUCGGAGAAGUCCGAUAUGAAUAUAGACGGAAACACAUUUUGCGGGAGAAGAUGACCCCACGUCGUCGCGUCCUAGUAGGAAUUCGUCGGGCUAUAUUUGCCGCAGGUAUCCUGACGCUUAUCAUCCUAGUGCUAUCUGGUCAGGAUGGCACCAAUACUUUACAACAGGCAAAUUUGUUGGAGGAAAUGAAUCUGACACCAGAAGAAAAAAUAUUAGAGCAAAUCGCUGCUGCAGAGAUCGAGCAACGUCUAAUAGCUAGACGUAAAUUUCUAGCGGAGAAAUGUGCCGAGGAAGGACUUGAUCGUCCUGGCAAUGAUUCGCUUCAUAGGCCUAAUGCCUGGGAAUUUCUUAUAAAUAAAGAAUAUCACCUUAUAUGGUGCAAUGUUUUCAAAGCGGCUUCUACGUCGUGGAUGUAUAACUUCAACUUACUCGCAGGAUAUACCCCGCAAUUUCUGAAAGCCUCGAAAGCAGUGCCGGUUUCGUUGGCUAGACAGAAGUAUCCUAGGCACACGGCAGAAGAAUUAGCUAAAUUCUUAAACGACAGUAUCAGUUUCCUGAUAGUACGGCAUCCGUUCGAAAGAUUGCUUAGCGCUUAUCGGGACAAACUAGAGCACAGUUUACCGCACACAUUUCACAGCAAUCUCGGUGCACACAUAGUUUGGCAUUAUAGAGCAAAGUCAGCACAGACCUCUAGAGGACGUCCUAAGAAUGACAUCCUGAGAAUGUCCCAACGUCUUAAAAACGUCCUUAGAACACACCCAGGACAUCCUUUGGAGGUUUUGUCUGGGAUCCGAAGACGAAUACCAGACAAGGCCCAAGAUAUCCAGUCUUCGAAGAAUUCGUGCGAUGGCUAUUAUGUCAGUGGAAAGCAGGGAAUGAUCUUGACAUGCACUGGACACCAGUAGUGAAUUUUUGCACACCUUGCCAAGUGCGAUUUGAUGUUAUAGCUAAAUUCGAGACAUUGCAUGAUGACCAAAACUAUCUGAUAAAGCAAGCGCACGUAGGACAUAUUAUCAAACCCGAGUGGAAAAAUCCAACUAGAGGAAUCCAGACAAAAGAUGUUAUAAGAAACUAUUUUACACAAUUAUCUAAGAUGCAGA
rnacentral:misc_RNA from 1 species